ensembl:lncRNA
UUGCAAUAUCCGCAAGCUUCAACUCUCCGCCACCUUGGUGCCUACAGAAGACAGAAAGCGGCUGGCAGGGAGUUUUAAGAACCUAUAGACGUACGCAAACGCCUUAGCUCAGAGUCACGUUUCCCUCCGAGUUCUUACGUGAUCCCAAUGAACGAGAGGGGUUACCGGCUGCCGCCGCGGAACGUGACCGCCGCCCCCCGCACGCCGGAGCGGGACGCCAAGUUCCCGGGGAGAGCCCGGCCCCGCUCCCCGCCCGCACCCGGGGCCGAGCGACACGGGGCGGCGCGGAGCCGGCAGAUGCUGCCCUAAGACUGGUACAGCUGGUACUUUCCUGCCUCGGCCGUCCUGGGGGCAAGGUGCAAGAAGGCACGUCGGGUGGUCUCCAGCCGACCUGCCCAGAAGAGGACUGCUGACCCCCUUCGUCAGCAUCACACGCUGCCCGUGUGGCGUGCAACGGGCAGAGCUGCUCCCAAAGGCUGCUGCUGCUGUAAGGCUGCACCCAGUAGAUUACCCCGUCACUUGUCACCCAAGACCCAUCCUUAAGUAUUGAUCUUCAGUCAGGGAACUGAAAUUUCCACCGUUGGAAGCACUGAUAGUGCUAGUACCAGUUGUGAACACCACUUUUUAAAUGCCACUUAAAACACCCCACAAGUGUUUUAACAAAGGGGGACUGCAUCACACCAUGCCUUCUCCCAACCUUCUAAGCCAACAGCUGCCACCUCUCCCUCCGAGGAGUAGAACAACUAUGGUGGGGUCUGCUUUGGACAGAAAGUCAUACAAGUACACAUCUGAGCCCUAAAAGUUUCUGACUUCAGGGAGUCCUCAGCACUUGUGGGUAGAGACAACUCAGUAAGGAAGUAGUAUCAAUUAAAGCAAACAAACAAUUCUACAUACUUCAAAACUCAAGAAAUACAGUCUUUCAUCCAGAAAGUCAUUCUAGCUGUAUCAUUUGUAAGAAAGUAGUCUAUCUGUUCCUCACCUACUUCUGAGAUCAUUAACUUCCAGGUAUUUUCACUUUCUGAGGAAGUUCUCAGUCAUUAAGGAUGUCCAGAUGGAAACUUCGCUGGAUCACAGUAUUGUAAUGACACAGUAACAUUAAACUUACUAAAAACUUCCACAGAAGGCUUUCUAAGAGGGACCCACAGCAAGAACAGGACACGCAGUCAAUUCAGGCCUGUUCCAGAGCAAAUGGAUGAGCUUUGCCAAGGAUACUAAGGCAGGGUCAUGCUGACAGAACAACACGCAAGAAUACUCAUUUAUAGAGCUAUCUCAAA